rnacentral:rRNA from 1 species
AGCAGCCGCGGUAAUUCCAGCUCCAAUAGCGUAUAUUAAAGUUGUUGCAGUUAAAAAGCUCGUAGUUGAACUUCGGGAUCAAUUUAUCGGUCGUGCCAAUGGUAUGAACUGGUACAAUUGGUUUCUCCCUUCUGACGAAGCAUGAUGCCAUUAAUUUGGUGUCGUGGGGAAUCAGGACUGUUACUUUGAAAAAUUAGAGUGUUUAAAGCAAGCAUUAGCUUGAAUACAUUAGCAUGGAAUAAUGAAAUAGGACGUUUGAUCCUAUUUCGUUGGUUUCUAGGAUCGACGUAAUGAUUAAUAGGGAUAGUUGGGGGCAUUAGUAUUCAAUUGGUCAGAGGUGAAAUUCUUGGAUUUAUUGAAGACUAACUACUGCGAAAGCAUUUGCCAAGGAUGUUUUCAUUAAUCAAGACGAAAGUUAGGGGAUCGAAGACGAUCAGAUACC